rnacentral:tRNA from 3 species
GAAAAUAGCUCAGUUGGUAGAGCGCAACCUUGCCAAGGUUGAGGUCGCGGGUUCGAACCCCGUUUUUC